AUUGAACGCUGGCGGCAUGCCUUACACAUGCAAGUCGAACUGUAACAGGUCUUCGGAUGCUGACGAGUGGCGAACGGGUGAGUAAUACAUCGGAACGUGCCGAGUAGUGGGGGAUAACGCAUCGAAAGGUGUGCUAAUACCGCAUACGUACUGAGGUAGAAAGUGGGGGACCUUCGGGCCUCACGCUAUUCGAGCGGCCGACGUCUGAUUAGCUAGUUGGUGAGGUAAAGGCUCACCAAGGCGACGAUCAGUAGCGGGUCUGAGAGGAUGAUCCGCCACACUGGGACUGAGACACGGCCCAGACUCCUACGGGAGGCAGCAGUGGGGAAUUUUGGACAAUGGGCGCAAGCCUGAUCCAGCCAUGCCGCGUGUCUGAAGAAGGCCUUCGGGUUGUAAAGGACUUUUGUCCGGGAGCAAAUGCCUGGUGUUAAUAGCAUCGGGAGCUGAGAGUACCGGAAGAAUAAGCACCGGCUAACUACGUGCCAGCCGCCGCAGUAACAC
rnacentral:rRNA from 1 species